ACGGAAGGCAGCAGUGGGGAAUAUUGCACAAUGGGGGAAACCCUGAUGCAGCGACGCCGCGUGAGUGAAGAAGUUAUUCGUAAUGUAAAGCUCUAUCAGCAGGGAAGAAAAUGACGGUACCUGACUAAGAAGCCCCGGCUAACUACGUGCCAGCAGCCGCGGUAAUACGUAGGGGGCAAGCGUUAUCCGGAUUUACUGGGUGUAAAGGGAGCGUAGACGGCAAAGCAAGUCUGAAGUGAAAUGCCGGGGCUUAACCCCGGAACUGCUUUGGAAACUGUUUAGCUAGAGUGCAGGAGAGGUAAGCGGAAUUCCUAGUGUAGCGGUGAAAUGCGUAGAUAUUAGGAGGAACACCAGUGGCGAAGGCGGCUUACUGGACUGUAACUGACGUUGAGGCUCGAAAGCGUGGGGAGCAAACAGGAUUAGAUACCCUGGUA
rnacentral:rRNA from 1 species